GACCGAAGAAUAUAACCUCAGAAGAAGCAUGGGAGAAGUUUGUAGAAGAUUCUCUUUCCACUGAUUUUCAAGAAAAAAGUUCUAAGUUCAGCAAAAUGAGAAGUAGUCAGAAGCUUCUCCAUACUAUGGGUCGGAAGGGUUAUUCACGUAUGGCUCACGAUUUGAAAAGAAAGAAUCCAAAUAUAACA